GGCCGAGCGCUGGCUCUCCGCCAGUAGCGGCCGCGGGGCCGCCGCGAUAGCGUUGGCGGAGCCGUGGGGCUCCGUGCGGGGAAAGCGGCGCUUCGCCGCCCCGCGUCCCCGCCGCUGCCGCCUGCCCCGUGCCUUUGGGACGCCGGGCUCUCAGGGGAAGGCGGCGCGGGGGCCUGUCCGUCCCCCCUCUGCACCGAGCCGUCCUCCACAGUCGCUGUUCGGACGGGAGCCGGUUGGGAACGCGGUCGUCUCUUUGUUUGCGUUGUGUUGCGUUGUCUCUUUGCGUUCGUCGAUUAAAUGUUUACCGUUCGUUUCUCGGCGCUUCUGCCCGCGGUCGUUUCUGCAGCUCCGGUAAGUCACCCCGUUCCCGUGCCCACCGCCCGGUAAGGACGAGGCGGCGCAAACGGAAGAGAUUAAGACUGGCUGCACAGCUUUGAAAACUGUGCUCUGCAGACCAGCUGCACAAUAAUGUCCUGCUGGCACGAAUCCUGAACUUGUCUGCCCUCAGAAAGUUUUCCUGGAUGUUCCUAGAAGGUUGCUGAUAUUCUUGGCACUCUUGGCCUAGCUGAAUUUAAUUGGAAAACUCCCACUAGCUUAGCAGGACUGUCUUCUUAUUUUCCAUAUGAAAGAACUGGAUUCGUAUUUUUCUUGCUUUCUUUUUUGGGUUUUUCUAACAAUCUCAAAAUCCUGUGAAGCACGGCUUUCACACCUGUUCAGUGACUCUGUGUAUUCAUGCGUUUAUACAUGAAAUGAGUUUUAUUUGUUUCUGCAAUGUUGUUUUCACCUAACAUAUGUUUUAGUCUGGGAGUUAAAUCUGAGUUGUUUAUUUACUGCUGUGAUAAUGCUGAGGAUCUGCAUGAGGCACUGCAGCAGUUCAGUGCACGCUUACGCUCUCAAACCCCAGGGCCCCCAUCCCAAUUGAUAAUGCAGGUAAUCUGGGACCUUCUUAAAUUCCAGCAGCCUUUCAGAGGCUGGCUUACCCGCUCUGCACACCACUGUUUAGAUAUGCACACAAAAAAGCUGGGCUUCUGCAAAGCUGAAAGCAAGUCUUUCAGUGCUUAUUAAUUUUGCUCCAGGCCUUUUACAUUAGUAAAGUAUUCAGAAGGAAGGGCCAAAAUAUAAACCUGCCACCACUUUCUCUAAUGCAUGCGAAGCUUCACCUCUCUAAUUCCUUAGCAGUGUGUGCUGUGCAAAUAAAAGCCCAGAGUCCAGAGGAUGUGUAAGGAGCUCUGAGCUCUGCACUCCCUGUGCACGUGCAGUCUGGCAAAAUAAACUUCUGGCAUUCGCUGUUCAGAAGUGCAGUGUGCCUGAAGCGAAGUCCUUGCAAUUCACUUCUAUUCAGCGAAGGAUUCUUCACCUAUUUGAACAACUUGAAACAUUUUAGAGUCGUGGAACACUUUUGAAAAAGGAAGAUCUUUAAUAUUGAUAUUCAUGCCUAUUUAGGUUAUCGAUUUUCUAUCCAAGCUCAGCUAUUGAUGGUUAUGCCUGUGUAAGCCAUAAAAAUCAGGUCUUUACUGGAUACAUCCCAUGCCAAAUAUUGUUGCUGGGUUGUUUUUAUUUUCUAUAGGUAGGAUGCCGCUGCAUUUACAGUGCAAUCAAAUGAGAAUGUGACAGAGACUCUGUAAGUGGUGGAUUUUACUUCUUUUCUAAAUGGUGUGUUUAAAAAAAAAAAAAAGUACUGUUUUUUGCUUUGUACAAAAAUAUUUGCUCCUUUGUACAAGAACACGGGUGUUUUCCAUCCUCUAAUUCAUUAAAUCUUGACCUGAAAGAAUAGGUGAGUUAUAGCAUUGCAGCUGUAAAUCUGUACUUUCUGAAAGUCUUUCAUUAGGAUAGCACUGCAAAAAAGGAAAAACAGGAUGCCUAGAUACUUUUAAUUUUUGAAGGUACAGUCAGUGUACUUAUUUAUUGCACUUAAGAAAAGCAAGAAUGAGUGCUUUGGUCCAGUGUACAGCAAGGAAGUGCUCACGUGUGCUGUCGGUACACAUACCUCUAAUAUCACUGCAGCUUUAUCUGUCUUCCACAUUUUAGUAGGUACCAUCUUUUAAGGGGGGGAAUACUGUUGAAAGCGAUCAUACUUUGGUGGUUUCUAGGCUCCUCUUGCUGCCCCCAGUUAGCCUGAAUGAAGGAUAUGGAGUGGCAGCAUUGCUGGGUGAAUACUGCCGUUACUGAGAGCAAAAGAGUGAUUCUGUUUGUUGAUGUGCCUUUGGUCACUGAGCACCGUGAGAGCAUUCUGAGUAUUUGUAUUUGUAGUUCCAAUGGCAAGUAGUCUAAAGACUGCUUGUGCACAAGUGACUCAGAGCACAUCAGUGCAAUCUGCAUUGUAACACAUUACCUCUGAUUUUAAGCCUGAAAGUUCCUUCCAGUAUUAAGGCCCAGGAAACUCAUUAGCCAUCUGACCUGGGACAAAUCUGCCUUUUUGUUUCUCAUUACAAUCCUGUUUUUUCUUUGUGAAAUUCCUUGGAACUGGUAUUAUCACACAAGCCAGACUUCUGCACAGUGUAAUAUAAGGAAUGUAAUAUAUGAAUAUAUAUAUAUAUACAUGUAUGUAAUAUAUUACACAUAUACACACACACACACACAUAUAUAUAUAUAUAUAUAUAUAUAUAUUCAUUUUCUGUUACCUUUAGAAUACAAAGUUGUCUUUACCAAUUUGGAAGAGAUGUCUAGGAAAAUGAGCUCCGUGUUGAUUUCUUAAAAAUUCAGAAGUAGAAUUAUUCUUCAUUUGGCUCUGAGGGGCAAUGAUUGCAGGAAUUGCUUUCCAGGACAUAUAUUAUUAAUAUUUUACCACUCCACAUAUCUUUCUGAUAGGAAUCUCUUAUUGAUUUUAGUAAUUUCAAGUUUGUGGUGACAGCCCCUCAUCAGCACAGUUUCUCUGUGAUGAAUUUACUGUCAAGCCACGUUAAUUGGUAGAAUGUAUGGCAGUCAUUAGUUGUUGCAGGAGCUUUGAGUAAAUUUUCUGGUAGGGCUCUCAUUUAAACUAGGAGGGGUAGUGCAGAGAACAGGGUACAAUUCCCUGCUCAGGAGUUUUGUUUUCUGUUACUUACAGUUUCAUAAUCAGCCUGAAGUGCAUUGCCAAACACUUCAUUCCAAGAGCUCAUCUUAAUUGCUGCAUGGGAUCUUACUACAUGUCCUUGUUGUGAUCCAUCGGUGCCACAGAACAAAUAAAUUUCUGUUAGGUGCUGGCAACCAUUGAUUCUUAUUUUGGUCGCAGGGAACAAAAUUUUUCACAGUGAAAGGGACAGAAUCACCACGUGCUGCAGAAGAGCUGAAGCGAAUGGUAAGAAGUCCUUCUUGCGUGGACUUUUGCCCACAGAAACUGUUUUGUUUCUUCUUCCCGUAGUAUGUAAAAUCCAAAGGAUGCAGUCUAAAAGAUAUAGUUUAUUAACCACUGAUUGAUUUCAGUUUCAAAUAAUAAUAUCCUUCUCACCACAUCAAUUUUUCAAAGUCAGGCAAAGAUGACAAGUGUACAGAACAAAGAGAAAUCGUAGCAAGUCUUGUUAUUUUGUUCUCCUAUCUGUGAAAUGCUGCACCCAGAGUUCACAGCAUUACUCAGAGAUUAGCUAUUUUGACUUCCAGAUGCUCCUUGGUUUGGAAAGAGCCUUUUUGUGCUUUGGGUCUGAUGCUUGCCUGGACUUUAAUAGUCUCUCAGUCAGUCAGGCACUCAGCUAAACACAGUGAUUUUCAAAGCUUUGUGUAGGCACAUAUGAAGCUGCCAGCUGGAAGCUCUCUCAGACACUGAACAGUGACAGAGGCCAAGAAAGAGCCUUCAGCUUAGAGAUGUGUAAUGAUGGCUGAAUCCCACCAUAGGUACAACUCGUGGCAUCCAAUCUGCAGACUGUAUGAUCUGGGAGAGCAGUGCAAAGAAGAGUGGUCAGCUGUGUCCGAAAGCCGAGUGUGGAGCCAAGUACAGGUACAGCACUGGAGUAUGAGGCCAUUUAAAGGUAAAAUAUUUCUUUCAAAAAUGGGGGAGAACUGAUGUGGAACAGUGUUCUUCUGUUCUAAGUCAGCAGAGGCAGAUUGCACUCUGUUUAUGGAACUGCAGCAUUACUUAGGCACUUUUCAGUAAUCCUAUUUACUAGAUGUUUACGCCUAGCAUGGCAUAAAAAUAAACAUUGCACUGCCGUGCUUCCCUGCUAAAACUCAGUCAUCCUUACCAUCCCAACUCCUAACUAAUCAAAAGAUCAGUGCUGCUAACUUUACCAGUACAAAAUAGUCCUUAAGAAGUAAGGGCGACUCUCCUUACCUUUCUCUUUCCCAAGAAAUCUGCUUCCAGUUAUGCUUGAAAUGAAGCCCUCAUUUAAAAGUAUAUGGAUGAAUGCAUCAAAUUUUGAAUGAGGCCCAAGCUGUAAGCUUGGUUGAUGGAAUUCUUAUGGGAAGGAGUUCGCAGGUUACUGAUAGGAGAAGGGUAGGGACAAACACGUUCCUGACAUAGAGCAGUGCUCAUUUCUGAAGGCAAAUUGACUUCUAAAUACAGCUAAUUAAGAAAUUCAGCACUUUUUAAUAGUACAAGUCAGAAAAGUGUUUCUGUACUAACUUGCCAUUGCCAUUAGACGCAUGGCUUUUAUGAGGCAAUAGAAAUACUUGUUUACCUCUAGUUUUAAAAAAAAAAAAAAAAAAGCAACAUGCAUGCUUUGCUGGAGUAAGAAAUAAUUAUAUUUUGCAGUUGAAGCUUGUGGGAUUUUUUUCUUUUUAAAACCCUCUACAGUCUGUUUUAAAAACAAUGGAGAAAUCAGGUCUUCCCAGCAUGGUUUGGCAGCUUGAAAGAAUUAAUCCUGUAUGUAUAAAAGAAGAGGUGAUGUCACACUGCAGUUUUAGCAGGAUAAAGCUGUGAGGGGUUUGCAUGGUAACGCUGCUGUCAGCAGCUGCCUUGCCCUGGCAUCUGGACAGGUCUGGGUUUUAUGAGGUGACUGCAGGAAGAUGAGCUUAGAAAACACGAGUGAAGUGAAGUUUGGAUUAACUCAGCAUCCUUUUAUUAAAAUAACAUGCAAGCAUCCUGCAAGAUGAAAUGUGCAGGAAUUUUGGUGUGGCAGGUGUGUGGAGGCAGUGAGCUGGAGGCACUGAGGUCUGAUCACAAGUGCUGAAGAUGGCAAUCUGCUCUACCUGCACUCACACAGAUCUGCAUGACUUGUCUUCAUUCUUCCAGGGCUUUUGAAAAAUCUGACAUAUGUAUGUUAGCAAAGCAGCCUUAACAUUUAUUAAUGAAAGAGAUUUCUAUAAGGGGGCUUAGAUUUACUUUUCCUCUGAAAAGCAUCUUUAGAAAUAUCCUGCAGUCUGCAGGAAGCCAAGGCUGAGCAGAAGAGAAAAGCACUUCCAAGUCUUCCAAACGAGACAUGAAUUACAGCCAUCUUGACUGUUGACCUAAACUUGACCUGAACCUCUUGAUCCAGGCUGAGCAAUAGCCAAAACUGAAUCCAAGCUCAAGCAGAAGGGAUGUUGCUGACUGAAUCCCAAAAUGCUACAGUAGAAUUGGAAACCAGCAGGAGCACAACUGUCCCACAGAGUUUAGGAAAUUGUACGUUUUUUCCUCUUCCAAAACCUGGAACUCGUGCAGUUUUACAGCUUCUGUAGGAAAGGACCUUGUGUUAGAUCCCAUCUGUGCUGUAAGAAGUAUUGUUUGGGGUGGAGAGCAUCACUGUUCAGAGCAAUUGAUCCCUUGGGCAUCUUCAUGGGUGCCAGAUUUAGAGCCACUGACAAUGUCUGCUGCUUUAAAUGUCAGGCACCCACUGCAUGUACAGCUGAGUGUGGACCUGGAGGAAAGUGAUUCUGCACAAACUGAUGAGCUUUGUGACCGACCUUUUUGAGCAAUCCCCUGCCGUGUGUUUCAGCCCAACGUGUGUGGAAGAAGUGUUCCAGAAAGUUUUCCUGGAGAGUAUCAGGGCAGGGGAUAAGGAGACAACUGGAAUUGCUGAGGAAGAGAGUGAGAAUUGAAACUGUAAUGUUUUCGAGCGUGCGUGGAGAGCAGCAGAGGAAGAAGAGCUACCUGUUAAAUGCAGGAAGAGAGGGAAAGGUCAGCAGCAUCUCUUCAGUAGUAAUGGAGCCAGCAUCGAACAACAAAGGGGCGGGAGAAGAACAUGAUGUGAUCAUGAACGAGUCUAAAGAUGCUGCAGCAGAGAUGGGCACUCAGGCACUGACAGUGAAACUUGCCAAGUUGUAAGAGAGCGGGAACCAACUGAAGAAAUCCAGACUGCACCUUCUCAAGAUCAGCCUGCGUCAGCAGGAGGCACAGCUUCUGACAUGCCACUGGGCUUUCUCUUUAAGGUUGAAGUUCUGCAUGAUUUUGAGGCAGCUAAUGGUGAUAAGCUUAAUUUAAAAUGAGGGGAUAUUGCACUAGUAAUUCCUUCUGAGACCACAGCUGAUCAGAUAAUUUGUUGAUUUACAGAGAGUAUUUGAUCUUGGUUCUUUUUCCUCCUGCAAAAUUGAUCUAAAACCAUCAUCUGAGAUAGCUAGUGCUGUCAGCCUGUGCUCCCUGUGCAAAGCCAACUCAUCCCAGCCAGUGACUCCAACUUUUAUCCGUAAUUAUUGAGUUGAAGUCAUCAUCCAUUACAACUUCAGUCCUGAGCAGAAUCUACUCUGUCCGUGGUAGAAAACUUCAGUUUCCCCAUCUCAGGUUUUCCAAAAGGAGGCUGGCUGGUUGACAGGCAUUAAGGAAUCUGAGUGCCUUCAGCACAGAGAUGCAAAUGGUUAUAAAGGACUUUUCCCGGAGAACUUCACACGCCACCUGGAACAGUUCUUCUCACAGGCACAUGAAUGUGGUUUGAAGCUCAGUCAGUGGGUUCUUCACCUCUUUGAAACAGGAGCCCCCUUUUUUUGUAGUUCAGGCUGUUAAUGGUUUACAGAUUGGUUGCUUGUUGAAGCGUAUCAAAAUGGGCAUGAGUGCAAGCAGUUAAGCUAGCCAUUUCUGAAGCAGUGCGUGAAAACAAAUCAAAUACAAACAGAAAUGUCCUCAUUUGUUCACAUGCACGUGGCAACAGGUUUGUUUGUGCUUUGCCAGAGCUGUGGUGAUCCUGUGUUUGGUCCUUUCCCACGAAAUCCAAAAUAGCCUCCUUGACACCAAAACCUGAACUUCUCUGCACUCAGUGCAUUGUAUAGAGUUGCACUGCAGAAAACUUAGUAAUCCUGUAGUAAUGAGGUCAAACUACUACAAGUUUCAUGUGUUUAAAAAAUAUAAUUAACUGCUGCAACGUUUUUCAGUGUUACCUUUGGACAUGCACAGUGUAUCUACACGGGAACUUGGACGUGUGUCUGCAGGUGCAUGUGGGUAUGUGUGCAUCUCAGCAAUGUCAUGCAGUGCUUUGGCUGUGCAGUGCCAUCAGUGCAUGCAUUGCUCUCCCACUGUCUGGCAUUACAGACAACAGUUUUGUUCCAAAGCUGCUCCAUUGCCAAAGCACUGCACAGCGUCCAUGUGAGUGAGGUGAGAUUUUCAUUCUGAGAUGAUGAAUGGCAUCAUUUUCAAAGCUGCUGAACCUUUGAGAAGGCAUGGCUCGGUUUCCUCUUCUGGCUGCAGUAGUUACAGUGAGGUAAUCUGGAAGGGGAACUGUUAUGAUGCUCAUCUAUACUUUUUUAUUUAAUUGGCUGAAUAAAAAGCAAUACAACAAAGUUAAUCUCUGAGAAAUAAACAUCUUUUCACAAUAAUAUUUAUGCAGCGUACCUUCACAGAUCCUUUUAAAUUAAGGUACAUAAUGUAUGCUGUAUCAAAAAGUCACCUGUAACUUCUGUUUUCAAGUGCUGUGUCAUUAAAAAUAAGCCUGUGAUCCACAGACGUUUCAUCUGUGAUGCUUUUGAAGUUGUGUUACAAUGAAUUUCACGUGGUUCCUGUGCUCUGUUGGGGAAUCUAACUUUAAUUUAAUGCCUCUUUUCCUGUGCACAGCACAGCUGGUGCACCAUCUCAACUCUUGCUUUCAACCCCCAGGUUCCAGCAGGUCUGACUCCCAGCUCAGCACAUCUCCUGGCUGCUCCUCCUGGAAAUGGGCUCUGGCCACCAGCAGCAGCAGGGGAACUUGUCUGUGCCCAGCUGUCACUCACACUGCUGCCUCUUAUUCGUCUCUUGCUCGUCCAUUGAUCUUGUGUGAAAAGAAAAUUCUCCAUCACUCUGCUCCGUUCUGUUUGCAAGCAAGGCAAAUUUUUCUAUUUUAUUCUUUUGUUUGUUGGUUUGUUGCUGUUACAUUCAAGUGAUGCCCUCCUCCCCAGUGCUGGAGCAGCCCAGAACUGUUUCCCACUCCUGUUUAACGCACUAUACUGCACUUGGUGAAUUACCAGAUUUUAUGCUUUCUAGGUGAUUGUGAAGCAAUAGCCGUUGUGUCUUGGUUUCUCUAGAGACUUAUUUCUGCCUAGGGCAGCACACACUGCUAACCUACAGCAGCUAUCAUUUCUAUUUCUGCACUGAAUGAACACUCAGAGCAUUUAGGGCCCUGAUGUCCCGAUCCUGUGGGCAAUGGACGCUGUGGCCGUGGAAGUGAGACAUAGUAACUGAAGAUGGAGGAGCGUUUCAUGAGAGUGAACUGAUCAAUUGUGUAUCUGCAGCUUGUCUCUCCAGUUUGCAGCCUUUCACGAAUAAUGGAAGGAGACAAAGCUGCUGUGGGCGCCAUCCUGCUCGAACUGCGGGGGACUUGUUUGCACGGUGCUCUGCUUACUGAUGCCCUAGCACCAGGAGAACACAAAGUAGAUCACAGUCUCAUUAAGCUCCUGCUUAAUGAACGUGUUGAAGUACCUUUCUGACUCGAGGAAGAAACACUGAACAAUGUUGCUAUGAUGGUAAGUGGAUGAGGCGGUGGGUGUAGGUGCAGUUUGCAGGACUGGGCGGGCAGAGCACAAGCAGCCAUUCCACUGUACAAAAGCCCAAAUAGGAUUUUAUUGUCAGUUUGCAAAACAGAUUUAAAAGAUCUUUAUUUGAAACACUCACCAUUUGAUAAGCCAAUUCCUGUCUACAAAAAGUAGUUAGCCUAGUUAACAUUUCUGAAAGCAAUGCAAAAGAGCACGGAGAUGUUUUUCUGUCUGCUGCAAUGAGCAGAGCUGGCUCUGCUGUGUCCUCUGGCAGCAGAAUGUUUGCUGCAGAUCAGAGGCUGCAGGCAGCCCGUGGGGCUGAAGCCAGCUGCUUUGUGAGAGCAAAGCUUUGUUGUCAUUCAGGGGGAGGAAUUGGAGGUAAUGUGGUCUCAGUCCAUGUCUAGAAUCAGAGAAUACAAAGUGGGGGGUGGUUUUAAGCUGGGCAUCUCCCCAAAUGCAUAGAUACAUGAUAAGAUAGCCACUUCUCAAGCAUUCCUCUCUCAGAUUUGCACCCACUGAUUUCAGCUCUGAUGCUGUCUUUGCAUGUAGCUGCCUCCAGCAACAUUUCAAACACACCUGUGUUACUCUUGUAUGGAUGUCUUCACUCUGACCCAUCAGCAUCACAUGGGGAAAACCACAGCACUUCCCAAACUUUCCUCCUGUCAAUCGACAGGAAGACUGCAUAAUUAACAUUAUUCUAGCAAAGCUGAAAUCAAUCAAAAGGCAAUUGUGCUUCAUAGCACAGUGUGCUUAGUAGCAGUUAACAGAAACUUUGCUGAGAGAAAAUGCUUAGAAAAUAAUGGAAGUACCACUCCAUGCACAGACAGGACUUCUGCCCCGCCACAGGCCAUAAAUACAGAGCAGAGCAAAGCAGCACGCAGCCAUCGGGAAUACGGUCUGCAGGAGUCAGAGGCUCACGUGUGCCAGAGAGCAUCAAGCUCCUCCAUCCUGGUGGGUGUGUGCUGAAGUACCAUUGUGCAAGGCCAGCAUCUGCCAUGCAAGGCACGCAUCUACACUGCUGGGCACUGCUGGUCCUAAUAGCCCAGGGUUCAUCUGCCCACGCUCCUUACACAGCUGCUCAAAAAGUUCACUCCUUUACUCCAGCAGAGGGUGGCAGACGCUAGAAUUUGUGUUCAUGGGAUUGGAGAUAGCAUCUGAUUCAGUCUUCAGAUAUAGAUUUUUUUUGCAAUGACCUCUCAGUAUCUAAAGUUGGCUCACAGCUGCAGACACACAGGGCAAAUGAAAUGAGUCUUAUGUACACAGCAACUGGCUACUUCAGCAUGCUGGCAAAUGAAGAUAGAGCAGCUCAUUACCGAGCCAUACUCUAACUCAUUGCUGCAACACAUCUCUGUGUUUCAUGCGUGUUAAAACUUACAAUAUGGAUCAAACUUGGAGCAGCUGCUCAUGGAAAAUCUGUACCAUUGUAAUGAGAUAUUUGGCUACUUCAAUUCAAAAAGACAAUGUUAAGAAAGAAAGUAAUUCUCUAUGCUACCUCUGUUUAAAACAACUUUCUAAUUCAUCUUGUUUAAACAAACAGCCAAAUUGCUAAAAAUGAGAAGAUUUUAAAACCUUUAAUUGGUCUCAUGCUCUAGCUCCUUGGCACUACUUUGAUCCUAUUAAGCCAACAUCCCUGGCAAUUUUCUUACAUGUCUACUCCUGUUUGCAGCCUGGUCUAGUACAAGAUAUGGAGGUUGCUGGCCCUGCCUAUGGCAGGGGGGCUGGAGCUUGAUGAUCCUCGAGGUUCCUUUCAACCUUUCUAUGAUUCUAUGAUCCUCUGCCUCCAUCUCCCUCCGUUCACUUACCUUGCUUAGCUCUGGCCUCACUGGGAUAAGCGCUGUUCCCCUGCAUUCGCAGUGCUGCGGUAUUUGACUUUCAGCUAAAACACCAGAACUAAAUGAGCGUUAGCAGUCUUUUCAUGCUGAGUGCCUGCAGCCAACAAGCCAGUCCCUGUGAGUGUCCUCAAAACAGAAAAGGAGGUAAAGGUGGGUGUAGGGAUGUGCUUAUGUAGGUUUCAUGGACUCCUUAGGUUUCGUGCCAUGAUGACACGGCAUGUCAUGUGCCCCUCUCAGCACUUGUGUGUGCCUGUGUGUCCCCUUUCUCUCACUGUCAAAACCUGAAACUUUCAAAGAGGCCUGAAGCAUCAGCAGCUGGUAAAUCUCAUGUUUCUAUCAGAAGCCUUGGGAGCCUGCCUCCUCUUGCUCUUUCAGUCCCAGAGCACUUAUUGCUGGGAGCACUGCUUCUGUCUCCUGAGGAGCAGCAGCAGCAGCAGAGGCACAUCAGGCUUUCAGACCCAGCGGGACACUGAUGUCCAAGCACAGGGUCUCUAGCUGCUGUCUCCUCACCACUUCUCUCCCCCGUCACUUUCCAAACACGGCACAGUGGUUUAACACAGCCUGUGGCUAAGCACCACCCCUUCCCAGUGGGAUGAGGGAGAGAACCGGAAAAAAAACACAACCACAAACUAGAACUCGUGGCUUGAGAUAAAACUAUUUACUAAGAUAGAGAAAAGAGUUAUAGUUAUGACUACAUGUAUACAAAGAAUUAUAGUUAUGACUAUAUGCAUACAAGUGCAUAUAACAAGUGAUGCACAAGCAGUUGCUCGCCACCCACCACCAAGUGCCCAGCUAGCCCCCUGAGCAGUGGAAAAGAGCAAGAACAACUCACUCCCCCUUCAAAACUCUCCUUCUGCAUGAUGUCAUAUGGUAGGAACAGCCCCUUGGCCACUUUAGGUGGCUGUCCUGAAUUCGUUCUCUCCCAGCUCCUUCUCCAGUUCAGCCAAUCUUCUGAGAGGUGGUCAGGGGGCUGCCCACACUGACUGCCAGACUUAGGGUCUUUGCCUUUUACAUGGAAUUAGUGAUGGUGUUACAAAACAAAAAAUGUCUAGAAAAUGCUUGAUAGGUAACUAGAGUUGUCCAAGAGAAAGAGAGCAAGGAAGGAAGAAGUGGUAUGGGAAGUGGCUAGGAGACAGAAGGGCAUGAAGAAUUAAGUCACUGAGUUUGCAUCUCGAAUGAUUUCCAAGUUUCACCUCAGGACACAAAAUCCUGAACAAUGAGCAUUCGAGCCUGGGGAAUUGUUACUGGAUGAAAAAAUGUAGCAAGCGCUCCAGGUUUCCCCUGUGUUUGUCUGCACCUUCCAGACAGAGCAGGAAGGAAAACCUGAACCUGCACUGCAGCAGUCCAACUUCCUCCAAGCUCCUGUUGCCUGGAUGCCCUGACGCAGCACUGGGCAGUACUGAGGCCAGCACAGCACUCCUGCUCAUCUUCCAGCUCAUUGGACAGCUAUAAAUUCAACUUACAUAUUUCCCACCCCUU